UGGGGGGAUUAGUGGCGAACGGGUGAGUAACACGUGAGUAACCUGCCCUUGACUCUGGGAUAAGCCUGGGAAACCGGGUCUAAUACUGGAUACGACCUUCCCGCGCAUGCGGUGUUGGUGGAAAGCUUUUGCGGUUUUGGAUGGACUCGCGGCCUAUCAGCUUGUUGGUGGGGUAAUGGCCUACCAAGGCGACGACGGGUAGCCGGCCUGAGAGGGUGACCGGCCACACUGGGACUGAGACACGGCCCAGACUCCUACGGGAGGCAGCAGUGGGGAAUAUUGCACAAUGGGCGCAAGCCUGAUGCAGCGACGCCGCGUGAGGGAUGAAGGCCUUCGGGUUGUAAACCUCUUUCAGUAGGGAAGAAGCCGGUCUUUCGGGGUUGGUGACGGUACCUGCAGAAAAAGCGCCGGCUAACUACGUGCCAGCAGCCGCG
rnacentral:rRNA from 1 species